rnacentral:lncRNA from 1 species
CAAGCUUUACUCAAAUUCAAAAGAAACCUUAAAUAAAUUACAAAAAAAACAACAAGAAAUCUUAAAAGAAUAAAAAAAAAAAACAUCUACUAUAGAUCUUAAAGGAAUCUCUAAAAAAUCUUAAAAAAAUAUUAGAAUAAUCACAAAUAUAUCUUAAAUAAAUCUCAAUUAAGUCCUUUAUUUAAUCCUAAAUAAAAUUUUAAUAGACUUUAAUCAAAUCCUUGACUAAAUUCUAAAUCCUAAAUAAAUCUUAAAUCCUAAAUCAAAACCUAAAUAAAUUCUAAAUCCUAAACCAAAUCCUAAAAAAAUCUUAAACUCUAUACCAAACCCAAACAAAUCCUUAAUCUUAAAUCAAAUUGUAAACAAAUCCUAAACCUUAAAUUAAACCCUAAACAAAUCCUAAAUCCUAAACCAAAUCCUAGAAAAAUUCUAAACAAAUCCUUGAAUCUAAACCAAAUCCUAUAAAAAUCUUAAAUCCUAAACAAAUCUUAAACCCUAAACUAAAUCCUAAACGAUCUCUAAACCUUGAACCAAAUCUCAAACAAAUCCUAAACCAUAAACCAAAUCCUGAAAAAAUCUUAUAUUUCAAAUCAAAUCUUAGACAAAUCUUAAACCUUAAAUCAAAUCCUAAAUAAAUCCUAAAUCCUAAACCAAAUCCUAAGGCACAUU